rnacentral:lncRNA from 1 species
ACAGAAGACGAAGAGCUGGAAUAGAGCUCGCCUCGGCUCUGCUGGCCUUGGCUGCAGCUCUUCCAGAAACCCGGGGCGCCCACAGAAGAAUCUCUUACCUGGCUCUCUCUUCAGGGAUGACAUCAUCGGCUCACACCAGUCUUCCAGGACCACCUUCUGGAUGCCAAGGCUGCUGCUCGAGUACCUGCUGUGCACCUCUACCUCCUGAGCCAAGGAGCACGGAUUCCAGGAACCCACUACCAUACAGAGCAACUCCUUGUGGACCCCCCUGGGAUCAGGACAGCGAGGGACAAGCGACAAAGAGGAUCAUCAGUGGCCAGCUAGUUUCUCUGGGGUUCAAACCUUGAACCAGUGCCCUAGUGAGGGGGCACUGGCCAUGGCCCUUGACCUUUGCUCUGCUUGUGUCUUGAGUCUGAGCCCUUUCCUGUACAUCUGUGCUCGUGUUCAUCUGCUAGUGAACUGGAGUGCUGCCCUCCCCGAGGAGGGUCGUCCCUUGUGACUGAUCAUGCUGUCCUAACAAUGUCCUGAGCAAAAGGGUCCCUUUGGGAACCUCUCAGGAGGGGGACCCGGGUCAGGGGCGACCAGCAUCUUGCUGGCAACUCCGUGGGUGGGGUGGGGUGGGGUGCUUCCUUCUGGAAUGAGCACGUGGCUGACCCCCCAAGGCAUGUCCCCUCCCCCUCCUCCACCCACCUUCUCGGAGAUGUCCCUUUUGGGGUAGUGGGGACAUUAGGAGCAACCUCCUAGGGUUGUUGUGAGAAUUAAAUGAACUGCAGCAGCCUGAGGCAGGGCUGGGCAGAGACCUCAGCACAUGUUUGUUGAAAGGUUUGCAGGUGGAUCUAGUCCUCCCGUUCAUGGCUCAUGUGUCUCAACCAUUCUCUCGCAGACUCCUGCAGCCCCUAUGCCCAGGGCUCUCCUUGCGCCAGCCCCGGCUUCUCGAGGCCUGUCUACACUCGCUGCUUUCCUUCCUCACCUCCAAUUUCCCCUCCAACCCACUGCUUCCUGACUCGCUCUUCUCCAUCGAACGGCUCUCGCUCAGGCCUGUCGCGUCUUCCUGUGCCAUUUGCUGUUGUGCUCAGGUUCCACGAGCUGCCCAUCUCCACAGAAGAGCAGGUGAGGCCGCUGCCUGUCUUCAUGCGUCUGGCAUUGCCCACCGGCCAUGCCGGCUGAAGAAAAGAAGACUGAGGACCCCAGGAUGCCCAGCGCGAGGACCCCAGGAAGCCCAGCGCGAGGACUCCACCCACGACGCCCAGCGCGAGGACUUCACGCACAACACGUUGCAACCCUCCUGGAUUAGGCCAAAGCCAUCAUCUGGAAUCCUGCGUGGGACCCUGGACACACGGACACAGACACCUGCCCCCAGGACCCUCCAACUGUAAAUCCCUCUACAGCCACGGGGACGCCUUGCACAUUUCCUGUGGGACAUGCUGGACCCAAGACUCUGGACCCUGGCCUCCCCUUGAGUAGAGAGACCCACCUACUGACUGAUGAACUGCGCUGACCCUGGGGUCAGGCAUGUGGCCUUGAUCCCUACCCAUGGACCCUGAGACUUGGGGGGGUGGGAGAAAGGCUGUUGUGUCUUCACUGUUGAGUCUACAUCUGUGAAAUGGGCUCAGGUUCCUACCUCACAGGGCUGUUGUGAGGCAGCCGCAAUGUGCUUAGAAGCAUGGGGCCUAGUGGCUCAUGGUGCUUUCAAUAAAUUUCUUGUUUUAACUAAAGCA